rnacentral:rRNA from 1 species
AACGAACGCUGGCGGCAGGCUUAACACAUGCAAGUCGAGCGCCCCGCAAGGGGAGCGGCAGACGGGUGAGUAACGCGUGGGAAUCUACCCAUCUCUACGGAAUAACGCAUGGAAACGGGUGCUAAUACCGUAUACGUCCUUCGGGAGAAAGAUUUAUCGGAGGUGGAUGAGCCCGCGUUGGAUUAGCUAGUUGGGGGGGUAAAGGCCUACCAAGGCGACGAUCCAUAGCUGGUCUGAGAGGAUGAUCAGCCACACUGGGACUGAGACACGGCCCAGACUCCUACGGGAGGCAGCAGUGGGGAAUAUUGGACAAUGGGCGCAAGCCUGAUCCAGCCAUGCCGCGUGAGUGAUGAAGGCCCUAGGGUUGUAAAGCUCUUUCACCGGUGAAGAUAAUGACGGUAACCGGAGAAGAAGCCCCGGCUAACUUCGUGCCAGCCGCCGCUGUAAAAC